rnacentral:rRNA from 1 species
GUUGAACGCUGGCGGCAUGCUUUACACAUGCAAGUCGAACGGCAGCGCGGGCUUCGGCCUGGCGGCGAGUGGCGGACGGGUGGGUAAUACAUCGGAACGUGCCCAGUAGUGGGGGAUGGGUCGGCGAAAGCCGGAUUAAUACCGCAUCCGACAUGAGGGUGAAAGGGGGGGAUCUUUGGUCCAAGCGGUAUUGGAGCGGCCGAUGGCAGAUUAGCUAGUUGGUGGGGUAAAGGCUUACCAAGGCGACGAUCUGUAGCAGGUCUGAGAGGACGACCAGCCACACUGGGACUGAGACACGGCCCAGACUCCUACGGGAGGCAGCAGUGGGGAAUCUUGGACAAUGGGCGAAAGCCUGAUCCAGCAAUGCCGCGUGAGUGAUGAAGGCCUUCGGAUUGUAAAGCACUGUUGGCGGGAACGAAAAGGAGUGUGCCAAUACCACGGUUCGAUGACGGUACCCGCAGAGUAAGCACCGGCUAACUACGUG